AGAGUUUGAUCAUGGCUCAGAACGUACGCUGGCGGCACGCCUUAUACAUGCAAGUCGAACGAAGUAGCAAUACUUAGUGGCAGACGGGUGAGUAACAUGUGGGUAUCUUCCCUAUGGUGAGGAAUAACACGAGGAAACUUGUGCUAAUACCUCAUAAGUCUUUACGGAGAAAGCUUUAUGCGCCAUUGGAUGAGCCCGCACUUGAUUAGUUUGUUGGUAGGGUAGCGGCCUACCAAGACUGUGAUCAAUAGCUGAUUUGAGAGGAUGAUCAGCCACAUUGGGACUGAGACACGGCCCAAACUCCUACGGGAGGCAGCAGUAAGGAAUCUUGCACAAUGGAGGAAACUCUGACGCAGCGAUGCCGCGUGAGUGAAGAAGGCCCUUGGGUUGUAAAGCUCUUUCGUCGGGGAAGAAAAUGACUGUACCCGAAUAAGAAGGUCCGGCUAACUUCGUGCCAGCCGCCGCGGUAAUAC
rnacentral:rRNA from 1 species